rnacentral:misc_RNA from 1 species
CAGCUUACCCCCAUCUAUCGAUUAGUCGUCCCCGAUUAGUCCUCGAGUCGUUAAAACGUAUAUUUAUCUCUCGUGCAAAACGCACAUGUUUUAUUGCCACUGUCGUAGGUGAACAUGAUUGAACGGGUGACAAUAUUAGGAAGGAAGUGAAUUUUGAUUGUGUAAGAUUUCUUCAGCCACUCGGAUUUUGAACGUUAGCCAGUCAAGAGGCCUUAAAUAAAUAUCAUGAGGCGUUUUAGAGACGUACGUACUUCAUCGCAUCGUCGCCCACCUCUGAUGCAGCUGCUUGUAAUUUCACCUGGAACUAGAGAAUACCGCCACUAUUUCGGCUCACCAUCUCGCCAAAUUGGCCCCAGUGUUAAAGGCCGUACACCACCGAAAAUCCGACCACAUCGAGAGAAAUUGGACAAACCUCGGCCUAGACGCAGUUUACCGGAUACGGAUCCAAAGACAUCGCGUUUGAACACAAACGAAGUUCUAGUUUCACAUGUGAUAUCUCCGGACGAAAUAUAUGUUCAACACUCGUGUUCGAUGGAAUCUCUACAGGCUAUGAUGGAAGAAAUUCAAAUAUCGGCAGCUAAUUGCGAAUCAAUUUCAGUGCUAUUAUCAGGAAUGGGCUGUCUCGCCAAAUGGCCCUACGACGAAUGGUAUUACCGGUGUCGAAUCACCGAUGUUACAGAAAGCGACAUUGGACUCCAUUUUGUUGACUAUGGAGAUAAAAUUCGGAUCAGUCGAUCUCAAAACGCGUGCAAGGUUAUGGAUGUAGCGUUUAGUUGCCGCCCAUUUUUCGCUUAUAGAGUAAAAUUAGCAGACGUCGUCCCUCGCAAUACAAGAAGCGUUUGGGAAGCAGAUCCAAAAGAAAAGUUUAUCAGGUUUUUUGAUAACUCAUCCAGUGUCUUCGUAAUGGAAGUUUUGGAAGACGUGAUGGAUUCAAUUAAAGUGGUUAAGCUAAAAUGUCCCGAUGGAAAAGAUUCAAGCUGGCACCUUUUCCAACUGGGAAUUGUUGAUCUCGUCAAGCCGAAGUCACUUGAGUUUGUGAUCCAAAAUGACAAUGCCUGUGAGCCGCAAGAGAGGCAUUCUGAUGGCAAAAUGUUGCAUACCGAAAAUAUUGGUAUUAUACAAAACAAGCCUGAAGACCCUGAAGUACCUGGAAAUAGUUGCAGUCUUCACGGUGGAGCUACCGAAACUCCUAGGGCAAAUGACACAGGAGAAGCCCCUAACAUAGAUGUUCUCACGUCGGAAAGCAUGAUGCCCGCCAACGUUACUUGUCAUGCAGAAGAUUGUUUACCGAACGAAAGCUCUGGAACGGAAACUUCUUCAACUGUACCGGACGUUCAAGUUGCAACAAAGAAAGAAAUCAUCUGUAUUUCGUUAGAUGAAAGUGAAGAUGAAGAAAAUGAAACAGACAAGGAAGUAGAAAAUUAUGUAGAUUACGUAACCGUUAAAAUUGAAGGAGCCCGGCAUCCUAAUCUGAUCGUUGAAACCACUUCAUUGGCCAGUGUUAACCCACCCGACAUCUGGUACAAACUAUCCCUUCCUAAGAAAUGUAUAGACAGUGGGGCCAUUUCAGCCAUGCAGUUGGAAGCAAUAAUCCACGCGUGCCAGAGGCACGAACGGAAGUUACCGGAUGGCUCCCGUGCUGGAUACCUUGUCGGAGACGGCGCUGGUGUCGGUAAAGGUCGAAUUGCUGCUGGCAUUAUUUUCGAGAAUUAUCAGCAAGGACGCAAGAAAGCCAUUUGGAUCUCGUCGUCCAUCGAUCUUAAAUACGAUGCCGAACGCGAUUUACAAGACAUUGGAGCCCGCGAGAUUACCGUCCAUGCCUUGAACAAAUUGAAGUACCAAAACGUAUCUACCGGAGACAUUUGUUCGUCAGAAACCCCAGAAAUGGGUGUAUUAUUCUGUGCCUACUCGAAUUUGACUGGGGUCUCCAGAUCCGCUGGAACUAGCCAGACCCGUCUUGAGCAGCUGUUAAAGUGGUUUCACGAAGACUUUGAUGGCGUCAUCAUCUUUGAUGAAUGUCAUAACGAAGUGAAAAAUCUAGCUAUCAGCCAGAUAAGUAAAACAGAUUUGGCCGUUUCUGUGUUACAGAAAAAGUUGCCAAACGCUAGAGUAGUCUACAUUUCUUCGACGGGAGUUUCAGAACCCCGCAAAAUGGCGUAUAUGGUCCGUCUCGGACUUUGGGGCCAAGGCACGUCUUUCGGAGAGUUAAGCUGUUUCGUUGGAGCCGUCGAGAAAAGUAAAACGAGCGAUGUUGAAGUUAUGGCGCAAAAAAUGAAGCAAUGUGGAAUGUACAUUGCUCGCCAACUUUCUUACAAGGGCGUCAGCCUUAAAAUCAAAGAAGUGGUUCUGUCGCCCAAGCUGGUCAAGGUGUAUGGCAACUCCGUUAAGUUGUGGACUGAGUUGCGAAAGUGUUUCUCAGAUGCGGCAAAUCUCGUCAAUGCCCAGCAAAGAGAACGCAAAACAAUGUGGAUGCAAUUUUGGUUGGCGCAUCAGAGGUUUUUCAAGUACCUGUGCAUCUCGGCUAAAGUAUCGUAUGCGGUUAAGAUAGCCAGUGAGGCUGUCAAAUGCGGUAAAUGCGUCGUGAUUGGCCUCCAUUCAACGACCGAAGCACGCGCACUUGAGCAGAUUGAUAGCGAAGGUGAAUUAUCGGAGUUUGUUUCACCCACGAAAAGGAUCUUGCUGUCUUUAAUCCAGAAACAUUUCCCAGCUCCAAGCCGUUCAAAAGGCGUUUCAAUUAGAAAUGCCACUUUAAUAGAUGUGUUGGAUGUAAGCCUAACAUGCCAGAAAGAAGGCCUUGAUUUAGGAAGUUGUGGAACAAAACGGAAACGUGGGAGCCGGCGGACCGACAGGAGUGAAACAAAGAAGAAAGCCAAUCCAGCCGACCCAAUUUCAGAUUCGGAAAUGAGUGAAAAGAAUGACGAAACAGACGAAGAGCUGGAAAAUUCGGACGAAGUGAACGAUAAAGAUCCUAUGAGUUUGCAUGAGAAGACGUCUUGGAUCAAGGAGCAACUACUAGAAGAAAUAGAGAAGCUUGGAGCUAUGCUUCCACGGAAUGCCCUUGAUGAACUUGUCGACGAAUUAGGAGGCCCUGAAAACGUGGCCGAAAUUACUGAACGAAAAGGCCGUGUCGUUCAAAAAGAUGAUGGCUUGGUACAGUACGGAUCUCGUUCGGAGACUGGCGUGCCGUUAGAAAAGAUCAACUUGUACGAGAAAGAACGUUUUAUGAAUGGCAACAAGAACAUUGCCAUUAUUUCUGAGACGGUCAGCAAUGGAAUCUCACUUCAUGUUGAUCGACGAGUAAAAAAUCAGCGUUCUCGGCUUCACAUUCCACUUGAAUUGUCUUUAAAUAGUGACCGAACGUUGCAACAGCUGGGUCGGACUCAGCGCAGUAAUCAAGUUACAGCCCCUGAAUAUAUUUUCUUAGUCUCGGAUUUGGCCGGUGAGAGGCUUUUUGCCUCAGUCAUCGCCAAUCGUCUCAUUAACCUUGGCGCAGUUGCACGUGGCUCUGUUUUUGAAACGUCUGGUCGCUUCAGACAUGAAAUUGAUACAAGAGACGGACGGGCAGCGCUCGAUGCUGUAAUGAACACUAUAAUUGGUUUUGAAGAACCCCUAGUUCCACCUCCUGCUGAUUACCCUGGCAAUUUUUUCAAAGACUUAAAAGUUGCCCUAAUUGGUGUUGGACUGAUAUGUCCUAGUGAAAGGAACCCACGAGCUUUGACACUGGAUAAAGACUACGCCAAUAUUUCCAAAUUCCGUAAUCGGAUUCUUGGUAUCCCUAUCGAACUCCAGGCCAAAAUUUUCAAAUAUUUUACAGAUACUAUCGCAGUAAUCAUGACUCAGACCAAGAAGUAGAAGGUAUUUACCUUGGUCAUUGGCUACGCGAAGGACGGAAUCAAUAGCGUAGUUCUCGCUUCACAUGUCCAAUGAGAACGACCUCUCAGUAUUACCAAGCAUCGUGACGCUAAUAGCGUGGAUCACCUUGUCAACCUGUUCGGAAUUCUAGUGGAUGGUGAACUUCGUGCAAGAUUGCUUCGAUGAAAUCUAUUGCAGCCUUCGUGACUUGAUUCGUUGUGGCUUAAACGAUAAAAAUCACGAGACAGCCUUGAUAUGCGGACGAAGAAUUCAGAAUUGCUAAUAUGGGAAAGUAAGGACGACAUACUAAUUUAUUUUAAUCAUUUCUCGUGAUUCAAAGAUCAUAAGGUGAUUAUUUUCUGUGAAAGACGACAAAACGUAAAGUGACGACCAUAUCGAAAAUGGCGCACAUAAUCACCGAGUAACAUUUUUUAGGAAUACUUUGAAAUUUUCGUUCAUUGCUGACGAAAUACGAAAUCUGUCGGUAUCGCUGCAGGAAUCCCAAAGCCAUCACACGGUUAAU